UCGUCCUACGGGAGGCAGCAGUGGGGGAUAUUGCACAAUGGGGGAAACCCUGAUGCAGCGACGCCGCGUGAGUGAAGAAGUAUUUCGGUAUGUAAAGUUCUAUCAGCGGGAAAGAAAAAAGACGGUACCUGACUAAGAAGCCCCGGCUAACUACGUGCCAGCAGCCGCGGUAAUACGUAGGGGGCAAGCGUUAUCCGGAUUUACUGGGUGUAAAGGGAGCGUAGACGGCAAUACAAGUCGGAAGUGAAAUACCCGGGCUUAACCUGGGAACUGCUUUGGAAGCUGUAUGGCUGGAGUGCUGGAGG
rnacentral:rRNA from 1 species